GAUGAACGCUGGCGGCGUGCCUAAUACAUGCCAGUCGAGCGAACAGACGAGGAGCUUGCUCCUCUGGCGUUAGCGGCGGACGGGUGAGUAACACGUGGAUAACCUGCCUAUAAGACUGGGAUAACUUCGGGAAACCGGAGCUAAUACCGGAUAAUAUAUUGAACCGCAUGGUUCAAUAGUGAAAGACGGUUUUGCUGUCACUUAUAGAUGGAUCCGCGCCGCAUUAGCUAGUUGGUAAGGUAACGGCUUACCAAGGCAACGAUGCGUAGCCGACCUGAGAGGGUGAUCGGCCACACUGGAACUGAGACACGGUCCAGACUCCUACGGGAGGCAGCAGUAGGGAAUCUUCCGCAAUGGGCGAAAGCCUGACGGAGCAACGCCGCGUGAGUGAUGAAGGUCUUCGGAUCGUAAAACUCUGUUAUUAGGGAAGAACAAAUGUGUAAGUAACUAUGCACGUCUUGACGGUACCUAAUCAGAAAGCCACGGCUAACUACGUG
rnacentral:rRNA from 1 species